rnacentral:rRNA from 1 species
UACAGAGGGGGCAAGCGUUGUUCGGAAUUACUGGGCGUAAAGGGCGCGUAGGCGCCUUCUAAGUCGAACGUGAAAUCCCCGGGCUCAACCCGGGAACUGCGUCCGAUACUGGAAGGCUUGAAUCCGGGAGAGGGAUGCGGAAUUCCAGGUGUAGCGGUGAAAUGCGUAGAUAUCUGGAGGAACACCGGUGGCGAAGGCGGCAUCCUGGACCAACACUGACGCUGAGGAGCGAAAGCCAGGGGAGCAAACGGG